UUCUCCCUCUCUCUCUCUUCUUUUUUUUUUCUCUGAGACUCCCUGACUUUUUCUUAUGGCUGAAUUUCCACAGAGCUAUGUGGGAAUCCAAGCUACACAGGAGGCUGACAACCAGAAGAAUUGAGCGAUCCUGCCCUCAGAAAUUAUAGUAGAUGGGGACUAACAGUUUCAUUCUUUGGAAUUUGUCUUCAGAAAAAUCGCACUGAACGAGUUAUGGGGCCUGGAGACUGUUCUGUACCUCUGCACAGGUACAGAACUCUCUCACCUUUUCUACUCGUAGAACACAAAUGUCCCAUCUGCAAGAGAAGUAACAUGAAAAGGAGCAACAUCUGCAACAGCUGAAGAUACUUCAGUUUCAAACUCAAGAUGUGACACAUAGGUGCUUCCUUUGAGAGUCUCGCAUGGUAACUUUUAUGUUAAAAUUAGAUGAAUUUGUUCAGUGAACUAAAGAUGUGGUCUCUGGGGAAGCAGGAGAUUCAGCGAUCCAGAAGUUCUUGUCUAUUGUAUGGCUUAAAGUGACUGUAAAACCAAGGCUUCUUCCAUUAUAAAUAAAUGAGAUUUCAAGCUUUAUCCUCUCAUACCCAAAAGCAAGGUUUUGGAGGAACUUCAGAUUAUCAAACAG